GAUUUGAAUUUUUACUACAUCUGCUUCAGAGACCCCAUGGAAAGGCAGGAGAGCAAGACCUUCCUUGACCCAGGAUGGAAACAAAAGAGCAACAGACAGGAAUAAAAGGGACAAUGAACCUGCUGAAGGGACUGGGAGAUUGGUGCUUGGCUGGUGGCAUGAAGAGGUUCAACAAGAGGGACCCUUCAAGCAAGACCCAAAGUUAUCAGAAACUGUCAUUUUUCUCACAAGGCCUCAGUGAAGGAGCACAGGAAGAGGAAUACUUACUGCUGCCCGGCUGAUGGCCAGAGUCCUUAGGCUUGGGCUAAAGCUAUAUUGGUUUGCUUUUAUACCAGUACUAAGUCCCCACAUGAGAAGCCAACACUCAGUAAGUGAACUUCCUAAUAACUUUGGGCUUUUUAGUUUGUACAUGUGUGCAUAAGGUAUCUAUGUAGCUGUGCUUGUGGGGAUGCCUAUGUGUGUGAGUGUGUGUGUGCCGCUAUGGCCAUGGCUAUGUGACUCCAUCCUUCUUUGUUCUGAUGUAUGUUUCUGGGGCUAUGUGAAUGUGUAUGGAUAGUUUGAAUAUCUUUGCUAGAACCAUAGAGAUGGGUUUGGGGUAGGCAGGGUAUUUCUUCUUAGUCUCCUGACCCCCCCCCCCAUACCACCUCCUUGUAGACCCCCUGUCUCUGUGAAUAUUCACAUGAGUGCUCAAACUUCUCUGCGCUGUCAUAUGGAAGGAUCAGACUUAUCCUGCUUGGCCCCAGAGGUCAGAACAAGAAGCCAUUGUUUGUUCUGCUUCUGCAGAGUAGUCUAGUCAGAUGAAAAUAAAAACGUAUUAGUGGUUACAGCGGUUCAAAAGGAGACUAUUUUGCCCUAGGAAGUAGUGGUUUUUUUUUUUUUUAACUUUUUUUUUUUUUUUAAACCCUUAACUUCAGUAUAUUGUCUCAUAGGUGG